GCAUCGGUGGUUCAGUGGUAGAAUGCUCGCCUGCCACACGGACGCAUUCGAUUCCCGGCCGAUGCA